AUACGGAGGAUGCGAGCGUUAUCCGGAUUUAUUGGGUUUAAAGGGAGCGUAGGCGGGAGCUUAAGUCAGCGGUUAAAUGGUGCGGCUCAACCGUGCCCUGCCGUUGAAACUGGGUUUCUUGAGAGUGCAAGAGGCGGAUGGAAUUUAUGGGGUAGCGGGGGAAUGCUUAGAUAUCAUGAAGAACUCCGAUUGCGAAGGCAGUCCGCUGGGGCACGUCUGACGCUGAUGCUCGAAGGUGCGGGAAUCAAACAGGAUUAGAUACCCUGGUAGUCCGCACGGUAAACGAUGAUUACCCGCUGUCGGCGGUAGACAGUCGGCGGCCAAGCGAAAGCGAUAAGUAAUCCACCUGGGGAGUACGCCGGCAACGGUGAAACUCAAAGGAAUUGACGGGG
rnacentral:rRNA from 1 species